AUGCCUCUGACCCGCACCAACGCUGGAUCUUCUAGAUGGACCGUCCUUCUCCGCGGCCAUCACUGGAUCUGCUCGCUGUUCACCUCCGACCCGCGACGCCGCAAGAUUUGCUCGCCGCCAUCCACCUCGACCGCCGCCACCGUUGUCCGACUCGACCGACCGCCACCAUCAUCUGCCUCGACCGCCGUUGCCAUCGUCCACCUCGACCUCCACCGCCGUCAUCCGCCUCGACCAUCGCUACAGGAUGAUGAAGAUGAGGAUGACCAAGAUGACCAGGAUGAUGAAGAUGACCAAGAUGACCAGGAUGAUGAAGAUGAAGAUGAGGACAUCCAAGAUGAAGAUGAGGACAACCAAGAUGAAGAUGAGGACAUCAAAGAUGAAGAUGAUGGUCCUAUCCUUUCUGGAUUUUUUUCUCAAAGGAUCAAGAAGCUUACUCGGGACAAGACAGCUAAUGUGAAGGUAAUAUCACCAUCCUCUUUGGCCUUCUUGGGGAAGCCCUUUGUGCAACAUCUAACAAAAACCAACAUGAUCAAAAAAAUUAUGGUGAGAUGUUUUAUAUUCUUUCAUCUCUUUUUGGUCAUAACCAAGUAUGGUGAGAUCUCUAACAUUGCAUGCUUUCUAUUUUAUCUUAAUGAUGGGGAGUUCAUAAGUUACCUUUGA
rnacentral:rRNA from 1 species